rnacentral:piRNA from 1 species
CCGCCGAUUUGUCAUCGUUGA